rnacentral:lncRNA from 1 species
UUGAGCUAGGAAUAUAGCUGAGUGGUAGGGACUUGGCUAGAAUACACAAAGGUCGACCCCUAGCACUAGAAUCAAAAGGGAAAUAAAAAGUCUUCAUAAUAGCAGUCAUUUGUAGGUGUUUGCUGUGCAGUAGACACUGGGUUUAAACAAACAUCACAAACAGGCAUUCCAUGGAGCAUUGUAUUACUACUGUUCCCAUUUUACAGAUAAAAACUGAUAUGCAGAAAGAUGUCAAGAAUAGUAAUAUAAUCAGCUGAAGUGGCAGAAUGGGAUUUAGAUUUUCGUUGCCACAGAGAGAAACUACUAGACCAGAUUACCUUCUCCAUGUUAGAAAUGGUUUCUGAGUUUAGGUAGUAUUUGGUUUCUUCCACUUUUAUUCAUUAUUUUUUUAUCUUAAAAUUUUUUAUUUAAAUUUUUUAUUUGAUCUGUAUGAGUGUUUUGCCUGUAUGUUUCUGUAUCAUGCAUGUGCCUUAUACCUGUGGAGGCUAGAAGAGGGUGAUCCCUGGCACUGGAGUUAUAGAUGAUUUUGAGCUGCUGUGUGGGUACUGGGAAUUGAACCUGUGUCCUCUGGAAGGACAUUAAGUGCUUUUAACCUCUGAGCCAUCUGUCCAGCACCAUUUACAACAGCUUUAAUCAUUUAGGUUUACCUCUGCCCUGCUUAGUGUCUACUGAUGCCUAGAAACGUGGUUCAAGCAGCGGUUUCAUUUCUUUCUUUCUUUUUUUUUCCUCCUUUCCUUUCCUUUCCUUUUCCCUUUUCCUUCUUUUCUUACUUUCUUUUUGAGAUAUGGUCUCAUUACAUAGUUCCGUCUGUCCUGGAACUCACUAUGUAGACCAGGCUGGUCUGAAAUUUAUAGAGAUCCACCUGCCUUUGCCUCCAGGCACUAGGAUUAAAGGCAUGUGCUGCCACACCCAGCCCAGCAGAGGUUUCUUAUAGAAGAGACUUCUCAUAGAUUGUGAGAUGAUAUAAGAGAUCACUGGAAUUUACAAGUCCAGUACAGACAUGUGUGAUCAAAACCUGUACAUACUGAGUAGGAGAGGCACAAACUAGGUGUGGAUGUAGGAAAGAAGACUGGGGAAUGCGGAAAAGACAAAGAAAGAUAAAGGAGUGAAAUGCCUGCAGUUAGCAAAUGUCUGUGCAUGUGUGUGUACAUUGUGUACACAAAUAUGUGCGUAGACUUUUAGGUUUUACUCUCUGCCAGCUGCUUUCACAAUUAGAAACCAGUUUUUCUUCUACCAGGUGAUCAUCAAAAGAUGCUAGCAUCUAAGACACAGUAGCCACAGGUACCAAAGCUUCUAUCUUUGGAAAGCAUGUGUGGGUGUUUAUUAUCCUUCCUCUCACUUCUCCCUCUUGUCUUUGUCACUUAGAGAAAAUGAGAAAACUCAUGGUAGUACGAUUUUUAAUGCUGCAGAUAUAUAGGAUAACAUGAUAUUAUGUUUGUUGAAGUUAAAAGAAGAUAUCUCCAUGAAACUUAUUGAAAUAAUAAUUCCAUUGUUGCUUCAGAAACAUGAAGAACCAUUAAAGUGGCUGGAAAGAUGGUUCAGCAGUUGAGAGCACAUAGUGCUAUUCAGAGGACUUGAAUUAGGUUCUCAGCACUCAUGUUGAGCUGUUCACCAUCAUCUGUAACUCCAGUACCAGGGAAUCCAUCUUAUAGCCACUCCCUUGCACUUCUAAUAAAAAAUU